rnacentral:rRNA from 1 species
CGUCUAGGCGGAUUGGUAAGUCAGGUGUGAAACCCCUCGGCUCAACCGGGGAUCUGCACUUGAUACUGCCAAUCUUGAGUAUGGAAGAGGAAAGCGGAAUUCCAGGUGUAGCGGUGAAAUGCGUAGAUAUCUGGAAGAACACCGGUGGCGAAGGCGGCUUUCUGGUCCAAUACUGACGCUAAAGCGCGAAAGUGUGGGGAGCAAACA